rnacentral:rRNA from 1 species
UACGAAGGGGGCUAGCGUUGCUCGGAAUCACUGGGCGUAAAGCGCACGUAGGCGGCUUUUUAAGUCAGGGGUGAAAUCCUGGAGCUCAACUCCAGAACUGCCUUUGAUACUGGGAAGCUUGAGUCCGGAAGAGGUGAGUGGAACUCCGAGUGUAGAGGUGAAAUGCGUAGAUAUCUGGAGGAAUACCGGUGGCGAAGGCGGCAUCCUGGACCGACAUUGACGCUGAGGAGCGAAAGCUAGGGGAGCAAACGGG